rnacentral:rRNA from 1 species
AUACGGAGGAUGCAAGCGUUAUCCGGAUUUAUUGGGUUUAAAGGGCGCGUAGGCGGAUGAUUAAGCGUGAGGUGAAAUGCCACUGCUCAACAGUGGAACUGCCUCGCGAACUGGUUGUCUUGAAUGCUCCUGCCGUGGGAGGAAUGUGUGGUGUAGCGGUGAAAUGCAUAGAGAUCACACAGAACACCGAUUGCGAAGGCAUCUCACGAAGGGGUGAUUGACGCUGAGGCACGAAAGCGUGGGGAUCAAGCAGGAUUAGAUACCCUGGUAGUCCACGCAGUAAACGAUGAUAACUAACCGCUGGGUCGUAGUGGUUCAGUGGCCAAGCGAAAGCGAUAAGUUAUCCACCUGGGGAGUACGACCGCAAGGUUGAAACUCAAAGGAAUUGACGGGG